AGACUUGAACGCUGGCGGCAUGCCUUACACAUGCAAGUCGAACGGUAGAGUAGCAAUACUCGAGAGUGGCGAACGGGUGAGUAAUAUAUCGGAACGUGCCCAGUCGUGGGGGAUAACGUAGAGAAAUUUACGCUAAUACCGCAUACGAUCUAAGGAUGAAAGCGGGGAUCGCAAGACCUCGCGCGAUUGGAGCGGCUGAUAUCAGAUUAGGUUGUUGGUGAGGUAAAAGCUCACCAAGCCGACGAUCUGUAGCUGGUUUGAGAGAACGACCAGCCACACUGGGACUGAGACACGGCCAGACUCCGUACGGGAGGCAGCAGGUGGGUAAGUUUUGGACAAGUGGGACGAAA
rnacentral:rRNA from 1 species